rnacentral:rRNA from 1 species
AGAGAUGUGUGAUGACGCAUAUCAAUAAGCGGAGGAAAAGAAACUAACAAGGACUCCCUUAGUAACGGCGAGUGAAGCGGGAAGAGCUCAAAUUUGAAAUCUUCAAGGUUCUACCUUGACGAAUUGUAGUUUAUAGAAGUGUUUUCUGUUAGUAGAGUGGCAAAAGUUCUUUGGAAUAGGACAUCAUAGAGGGUCGAGAAUCCCGUAUUUGGUCAUUCUUCUAGCGUUGUGAUACACUUUCAACGAGUCGGAUUGUUUGGGAAUGCAGUCCAAAAUGGGUGGUAAAUUUCGUCUAAAGCUAAAUAUUGGCGAGAGACCGAUAGCGAACAAGUACCGUGAGGGAAAGAUGAAAAGAACUUUGAAAAGAGAGUUAAACAGUACGUGAAAUUGUCAAAAGGGAAGCGUUUGACACCAGUGUCGUUUUUCCGAAAAUCAAUUACGAAUGUUUUGUUUUUGAGAAGUUAUGACUUCAUCGGCUUGCUUCUCUCUUUACGAAACUUUCUUAAUGCACUUUUCGGUUAACAAGUCAACAUCAAUUUCUUUUGUUGUAAAAGGGUAUGAGGAAGGUGGCUUUCUUUUCGGAGAAAGUGUUUAUAGCCUUGUACCUCUGCAAUCGGAGAGAUUGAGGUCUGCAGCGUAGAUCCUUCGGGGUUAGAUACAUUUGUGCUAAGUUAUAGCUUUUCAUAGACAACUUGUUGACUAUGUUUAGUCUUGUAGCUUACUCGCUUAUGCUAUUUUACCUACGCUUAGGAUGUUGAAGAUGUAGCACAUCAU